UACGUAGGGGGCAAGCGUUAUCCGGAUUUACUGGGCGUAAAGCGUGUGCAGGCGGUCUUAUAAGUGGUGUAUGAAAUCUCCGCGCUUAACGUGGAGGGUUAUGCCAGACUGUAGGACUUGAACCCAUCAGAGGGACGUGGAUUCCGGUGAGUGUGAAUGCGUAGAGAUCGGAGACACCAGAGCGAGCGGCUACUGGCUGCACCUGACGCGAGCGCGAAGCGGUU
rnacentral:rRNA from 1 species